CAUGAGCUCUAGGCUUCUCUGCUGUGUGGUGCUUUGUCUCCUGGGAGCAGGCCCAGUGGCAUCUGGGGUCACCCAAACUCCAAGACACCUGAUCAAAACAAGAGGACAGAAAGUGACACUGAGAUGUUCCCUUGUCUCUGGACAUCUAUCUGUGUACUGGUACCAACAGGUUCUGGGCCAGGGCCCCCGGUUUCUCAUUCAGUAUUACAACAUGGAAGAGAGAGACAAAGGAGACAUGCCGGAACGGUUCUCAGCUCAACAGUUCAGUAACUACAGCUCUUAGCUGGACCUGGACUUGCUGGAGUUGGAAGACUCAGCCCUGUAUCUCUGUGCCAGCA